rnacentral:rRNA from 1 species
UACAGAGAGUGCAAUCGUUGUUCGGAAUUACUGGGCUUGAAGCGCACGUAGGCGGCGUUGUAAGUGUCGGGUGAAAUCCCACGGCUCACCCGUGGAACUGCCCGGCAUACUGCGAUGCUAGAGUGUGGUAGGGGAGAGCGGAACUCCUGGUGGAGCGGUGAAAUGCGUAGAUAUCAGGAGGAACACCGGUGGCGAAGGCGGCUCUCUGGUCCACAACUGACGCUGAGGUGCGAAAGCUAGGGGAGCAAACGGG